rnacentral:pre_miRNA from 1 species
AGCCCUCUGUAUCCGUGCCGAGAUUUCGUCACACACCAGAACAAAAAAGCUAAUGAGACUCCCAGGAUAAGUGAAGCG